AACGAACGCUGGCGGCAGGCCUAACACAUGCAAGUCGAGCGAGGACUUCGGUUCUAGCGGCGGACGGGUGAGUAACGCGUGGGAAUGUGCCCUUCUCUACGGAAUAGCCCUGGGAAACUGGGAGUAAUACCGUAUACGCCCUAUUGGGGAAAGAUUUAUCGGAGAAGGAUCAGCCCGCGUUGGAUUAGGUAGUUGGUUGGGUAAUGGCUUACCAAGCCGACGAUCCAUAGCUGGUUUGAGAGGAUGAUCAGCCACACUGGGACUGAGACACGGCCCAGACUCCUACGGGAGGCAGCAGUGGGGAAUCGUAGACAAUGGGGGCAACCCUGAUCUAGCCAUGACGCGUGAGUGAUGAAGGCAUUAGGGUUGUAAAGCGCUUUCAGCUGGGAAGAUAAUGACGGUACCAGCAGAAGAAGCCCCGGCUAACUCCGUG
rnacentral:rRNA from 1 species